GGAGUGGAAGUACAGUGAUGUAUGGAGCGCACUGAUACUAAUCGAUCGAGGACUUAACCAAU
rnacentral:rRNA from 1 species